rnacentral:rRNA from 1 species
UACAGAGGUCUCGAGCGUUAGGCGGAAUCACUGGGCUUAAAGCGUGUGUAGGUGGACUGGUAAGUAUCUUGUGAAAUCCCACGGCUUAACCGUGGAACUGCUGGAUAUACUGCUGGUCUUGGGCCACUCAGGGGCUACCGGAACAAAUGGUGGAGCGGUGAAAUGCGUAGAUAUCAUUUGGAACGCCAAUGGUGAAAACAGGUAGCUGGGGGGUGUGCCGACACUGAGACACGAAAGCCAGGGGAGCAAACGGGG